CAGAACCGAGCUGACAGACAAGAAACAUCAACGUUUGACAGUUUGCCACUGUUUGAUUAUUGAAAAAACAACACAGAACAGCAUUAAUAAAGGCAAUUCUUCGGUAUCUCCAUGGCUUGCGGCUUCAGUUCAAGCGCUCUGUGUGUGUCGGAGGGAAGGAUGCGCGGCUGAAGAUUUAAGUCCGGAGAGACUGAAGCAUCCGCAUCCUGAACAUCCCGAUAGACAAUCACAACGAUGAUGGAGGGGCGACACGAGUUUUUAUGCGGUGUUGUUGAGGCUGCAAACUUUAGGACCACACUGGCAUGAAUAUCCAAUAUCAGGGACGUCGCUAGAACAUUUGGGAAGGAGAAGAGGAGAGACACACUUUAUAAUUUAUAAGUUUCUAUGGGAGACCCUGGUCAAUGGAACAAAGGAAGGUACUAUUUCAGUGGUGAGUAUGGGAUCAGCGAAUACACACACUGUUAAAUGGGAUGAUGAGAUUGCUCUUUAUAU
rnacentral:lncRNA from 1 species